AUAAGAAUAAAUUUUUAAUUGCAUUUAACUCAAUGAAUUAUUUAUAUUUAUAAUAUUUUUUUCACUACAUCGAUCCAAGUAAGAUGUAUAUAAUUAUAGUUAUUGCGUUUUUACUGGCUGUUUCUUGCACAAGUUGAAAAGGGCUUCACAGUUGGUAUUCAAGGGCUCAGGUUUGAAGCAUAUUUUUAAUUAAAUUUAUUUUAAGAAAAAACACGAAGCGGAUAGAGUAUAUAGAGAUAUCAACAGAUCGGGUUCCGUUCAGGGCUAAUUUUUCAAAAACCCGAACUGGAAUCCAACUCCAAAUUUGAAAUCCGAACCCAAAUCCAACGGAUUUUAAAAAUCCAUAUCCAAACCCAAACCCGACCAAAAAUUUGAAAUCUAAACCCGAACCCGAAAUAAUUAUUUCUCUUUUCGCUAUUUCAAAAUAUAUUACAUUAAAUUUAAAUUUUUAAAAUAUAAAUUCAAAUAUAAAUCAAAUUUUUAUAUACAUAUUACAUAUAAUGUAAAAUAAAUUCGGAUACGGGUCAGAUACAGUCAAAAUUUAUAUCCGAAUCCAUAUCCAUCAGGUUUUUGUUUUUUGAUAUCUAUAUCCAACACGAUAUCCAUUUAACAUCGAGCAAAUCCUCUCCAUUCGAGCUCAGAUUCGAAUAAAAUUUAAUGUAUCCGUACCUAUUGACGUCCCUAAGCACACAUUCUUUCUCCAAAAAAAAAAAAUUAUAACAUUUUUUAAUUGUGU
rnacentral:lncRNA from 1 species